AUUGAACGCUGGCGGCAGGCCUAACACAUGCAAGUCGAGCGAGCGGCGGACGGGUGAGUAAUGUCUGGGAAACUGCCUGAUGGAGGGGGAUAACUAAAGGAAACGGUAGCUAAUACCGCAUACUAUCAGAUGUGCCCAGAGGGGAUUAGCUAGUAGGGGGGGUAACGGCUCACCUAGGCGACGAUCCCUAGCUGGUCUGAGAGGAUGACCAGCCACACUGGAACUGAGACACGGUCCAGACUCCUACGGGAGGCAGCAGUGGGGAAUAUUGCACAAUGGGCGCAAGCCUGAUGCAGCCAUGCCGCGUGUGUGAAGAAGGCCUUCGGGUUGUAAAGCACUUUCAGCGGGGAGGCGUUACCACCAGACGAAGCACCGGCUAACUCCGUGCCAGCAGCCGCGGUAAUUC
rnacentral:rRNA from 1 species